rnacentral:rRNA from 1 species
GAUGAACGCUGGCGGCGUGCCUAAUACAUGCAAGUCGAGCGAACGGACGAGAAGCUUGCUUCUCUGAUGUUAGCGGCGGACGGGUGAGUAACACGUGGAUAACCUACCUAUAAGACUGGGAUAACUUCGGGAAACCGGAGCUAAUACCGGAUAAUAUUUUGAACCGCAUGGUUCAAAAGUGAAAGACGGUCUUGCUGUCACUUAUAGAUGGAUCCGCGCUGCAUUAGCUAGUUGGUAAGGUAACGGCUUACCAAGGCAACGAUGCAUAGCCGACCUGAGAGCGUGAUCGGACACACUGGAACUGAGACACGGUCCAGACUCCUACGGGAGGCAGCAGUAGGGAAUCUUCCGCAAUGGGCGAAAGCCUGACGGAGCAACGCCGCGUGAGUGAUGAAGGUCUUCGGAUCGUAAAACUCUGUUAUUAGGGAAGAACAUAUGUGUAAGUACCUGUGCACAUCUUGACGGUACCUAAUCAGAAAGCCACGGCUAACUACGUG